UAAAUUCAGGCUCCUCCUCAGGCUUGAAGAGAUUUCAGGAGCGGUGACUCUCAUCUGCUCGAAGAUGAGCCCACUGUGGACCUUCCUCUUCGUGCUGUCAGCUCCCAGCGGGGUCCUGUCCCAGGUGCGGCUGCAGGAGUCGGGACCCAGCCUGGUGAAGCCCUCACAGACCCUCUCCCUCACCUGCGCUGUCUCUGGAUGCUCACUAAGCAGCUAUGCUGUAGGCUGGGUCCGCCAGGCUCCAGGGAAGGCGCUGGAGUGGGUGGGUGCAAUAGGUUAUUGUGGAAGCACAUGCUAUAACCCAGCCCUGAAAUCCCGACUCAGCAUCACCAGGGACACCUCCAAGAGCCAGGUCUCUCUCUCACUGAGCAGCGUGACACCUGAGGACCCGGCCGUGUAUUACUGUGCAAAGGACACAGUGAGGGGAAGUCAGAGAGAGCCCAGACAGAAACCUCCCUGCAUGGGCGCCCAGGACCACCAGGGGGCGCUCAGGGCCACCACGUUCAGGACUCGCGCAGGAGCAGGUCUGAGGUAG